rnacentral:misc_RNA from 1 species
CGCACAUUGCGCCCGCUAGUAUUCUGGCGGGCAUGCCUGUUCGAGCGUCAUUUCAACCCUCAAGCACCGCUUGGCGUUGGGGAUCGGCGCGGCUCGGCCCUCUCCGGGGGUGCCCACCCGCCGUCCCCCAAACACAGUGGCGGCCCCGCCGUGUUCUCCUCUGCGUAGUAGUUUUCUCCUCGCACCGGUAGACAGGUGGUGGCCUCGCCGUAAAACCCCCAACUUCUGAAAGGUUGACCUCGAAUCAGGUAGGAAUACCCGCUGAACUUAA